rnacentral:rRNA from 1 species
GACGAACCGAGCGAACGUUAUUCGGAAUCACUGGGCUUAAAGGGUGCGUAGGCGGGCCCGUCAGUCAGGGGUGAAAUCCCACGGCCCAACCGUGGAAGUGCCUCUGAUACUGCGGGCCUGGAGGGGGAUAGGGGCGUGCGGAACUUCCGGUGGAGCGGUGAAAUGCGUAGAUAUCGGAAGGAACACCGGUGGCGAAGGCGGCGACCUGGGUUGAUAUUGACGCUGAGGCGCGAAAGCGUGGGGAGCGAACAGG